AGUGGAGCGGAAGUGAAUCAGUGUCAGUGGUUUUAAUGCAUGUAAACAAACAAGUGUGUCGUUGGAGACGGGAUGCGUUUUUAGUUUUAUAUAUUUUAAAUCACGUCUGUGAUCUUCUUUCAAUGGUCUCGAGCAGCAGAUAAACAUGGCAUCUAACGGAUGAUCAGCUUCCCAACUGAAGGGGAUAAGGUUGUUUGGAGCAGCACACUCAUCCAGCAGAAGCAUGUGGAUAGAAAUUGACAGUAAUGAUGCUCAUCUGCUGAUGGACCGGUCAGACUUUUCACUGGGCGUUUUUCACACAUGUGGCGGUGAGGGUGCUACAUGUAUGAAUGGAAGUCUAUGGGGAGAAAAGUGCAGUGUGCAGUGAGAGCUUGAGGCUUUCCGGAAACAUCCUUCAGUUUAGAGUCAGUUUGAGAAAGGGGCGUGUUUGGUGCAUCAACACUCAUCCAGCAGAAGCAUGUGGACAAGAGCAGAACUACUGCUAGACAUGAUUUGGUUGCUCAGUGGGGACGCCCUGAUCCCCCACACCUUCUCACUCACUGUUCAACUGUUAUGUUCCCUGUAUUUAUACUAAAAACUGCUAAAGUUACUAGUCUAACAGGGUCUUGAACCCUUUGGACCACAACACAACCUUGUCUUCAAUACCCAGCGGAGCCAACAUGGCCAACACGAGACCCAAUCUGAAGUGUAUUUAAGUACACUGGCGCUAAUUACAAUUCAUAAAGUGCAGUCUUUAAGCAUAAUCAAGCUUUCAAUGUUUCUGAUGCUUAAGUGACAACACAACUCACCUGUAAGUCUUCCUUGCUUAUAUAUAUAUUAUUUAAGUAUAAUGCUGCUGCAGAGCUCAUUUAGACUUUGUUUUCAUGCUGCUCUAUUGCUGAAUUGUCAGACUUUCAGAAAAUCAAACACAUUGCUUGUUGUUCCCUAACUUAUAAUCUCAUCAUCAUAUUUCCAGUCACACAAAAAAAGACAUCAAUCCAUGUGUCUUUAGGAGAAAUGCUGUUUAACAUUUAUAUACUAUUCUAGUUGACUUUAUAUCACUUAGACUGUAAAAAUAUCUAUAAAUUAGCAGAUUUUUAUAAUUUGUGAUUCAUGUUUUUAUUUUUCCCCAUUUAUUUAUGUUUUUGAAUAGCAUUAUGGGACAUUGAUCAUUCCUACAACAACUUUUACCCUUUGAAAAUUUAAAAAAAGUGACUUAUCGGCAUUUUGAAUAGUUUAAAGUGACUUACCAGUACAUUUUCUGUCUUUUUACAGACUUAUUUCUCUAUAUAUUAUUUCUUAUAUUCAUUCAAGACUACUAAAAUGUCAAUAAAAGUCACUUUAUUAAACUUUAGAGUUGAAUUUGCAACAUCAAAAGUGGACAAAGCGGAGAUCAACAUUCCAUAAUGCAAUUCACAACUGAAUACAGAAAACACUUGUGAAUCGCUAAAUACUGACACUGUUAAUUAACAAGUAAGGUGCUCUUACUUGGGAACCACACAUCUCAUGUUCGGACACAUGAAGGAACUUUAUUUCACCUGUCAGUGGCCUGAGCUCACAUAAUAAAGCAGUAAAACUGACUUGUUUGAUACUCUGAACUGGGGUUUGAACAUGUGACUCCAUCACAGCCUUGUCUUUAAGUAAGAUGUGCUUAACCAAUGGAGCCAGAAAAGAAAUCAUCAUGUUUUCUAACUUUGUUUUAUGUACUAAUAGUUUAAUAAAGUUUUAAUCAAAUAUAUAAACUUA